rfam:Glarea lozoyensis ATCC 20868 chromosome Tnknown GLAREA6, whole genome shotgun sequence.
AACGUCCCCCCAGCAUAGAAUCAUUUCUAUAGUAAACGUCCUCUUCUGAGAUCCUCUCACGAGCCUCAGACUCCAACCCGGACGAUGAGCCGAUCCUCGGUGCCCAAGAGUGAGGCCUUUUACUUUCGCACUGUCCGCAAGGAUGGCGGUUCCUUUCUUGUAAAGGGACUGUAUAGAGAGUGGCGAUGAUCUUGUCCCUUUUUGUGCUGGCUUCGGUCGCGUGAACUGGGUGGGUGCUGAUGGACGUCUGACGGGC